GAUGAACGUUGGCGGCGUGCCUAAUACAUGCAAGUCGAACGAAGACUGUAGUAAUACUGUCUUAGUGGCGAACGGGUGAGUAACGCGUGGGUGACCUGCCCCGAAGUGUGGGAUAACAGUCCGAAAGGAUUGCUAAUACUGCAUAAUAUCCAAGAGAUUAGAUGCUUUUGGAUUAAAGGAGUAAUUCGCUUUGGGAGGGGCCCGCGUCCCAUCAGCUAGUUGGUAAGGUAAUGGCUUACCAAGGCGAUGACGGGUAGGGGACCUGAGAGGGUGGCCCCCCACAAUGGAACUGAAACACGGUCCAUACACCUACGGGUGGCAGCAGUAGGGAAUAUUAGUAAUGGGCGAAAGCCUGAACUAGCAACGCCGCGUGUGCGAAGAAGGCCUUCGGGUCGUAAAGCACUUUUUGUAGAGGAUGAGGAAGGACGGUACGUCUCAGAAUAAGUCUCGGCUAACUACGUG
rnacentral:rRNA from 1 species